UACGGGGGGAGCAAGCGUUGUUCGGAUUUACUGGGCGUAAAGGGCGCGUAGGCGGCCACCGCAAGUCAGUUGUGAAAUCUCUGGGCUUAACCCAGAACGGUCAGCUGAUACUGCGGGGCUAGAGUGCAGAAGGGGCAACUGGAAUUCUCGGUGUAGCGGUGAAAUGCGUAGAUAUCGAGAGGAACACCUGCGGCGAAGGCGGGUUGCUGGGCUGUUCUUGACGCUGAGGCGCGAAAGUGUGGGGAGCGAACCGG
rnacentral:rRNA from 1 species